UGGGGAAUUUUGGACAAUGGGGGAAACCCUGAUCCAGCCAUCCCGCGUGUGCGAUGAAGGCCUUCGGGUUGUAAAGCACUUUUGGCAGGAAAGAAACGUCGCGGGUUAAUACCCCGCGAAACUGACGGUACCUGCAGAAUAAGCACCGGCUAACUACGUGCCAGCAGCCGCGGUAAUACGUAGGGUGCAAGCGUUAAUCGGAAUUACUGGGCGUAAAGCGUGCGCAGGCGGUUCGGAAAGAAAGAUGUGAAAUCCCAGAGCUUAACUUUGGAACUGCAUUUUUAACUACCGGGCUAGAGUGUGUCAGAGGGAGGUGGAAUUCCGCGUGUAGCAGUGAAAUGCGUAGAUAUGCGGAGGAACACCGAUGGCGAAGGCAGCCUCCUGGGAUAACACUGACGCUCAUGCACGAAAGCGUGGGGGAGCAAACAGGAUUAGAUACCCUGGUAGUCCACGCCCUAAACGAUGUCAACUAGCUGUUGGGGCCUUCGGGCCUUGGUAGCGCAGCUAACGCGUGAAGUUGACCGCCUGGGGAGUACGGUCGCAAGAUUAAAACUCAAAUGAAUUGAC
rnacentral:rRNA from 1 species